GAUGAACGCUGGCGGCGUGCCUAAUACAUGCAAGUCGAGCGAACAGACGAGGAGCUUGCUCCUCUGACGUUAGCGGCGGACGGGUGAGUAACACGUGGAUAACCUACCUAUAAGACUGGGAUAACUUCGGGAAACCGGAGCUAAUACCGGAUAACAUGUUGAACCGCAUGGUUCAACAGUGAAAGACGGUCUUGCUGUCACUUAUAGAUGGAUCCACGCCGCAUUAGCUAGUUGGUAAGGUAACGGCUUACCAAGGCAACGAUGCGUAGCCGACCUGAGAGGGUGAUCGGCCACACUGGAACUGAGACACGGUCCAGACUCCUACGGGAGGCAGCAGUAGGGAAUCUUCCGCAAUGGGCGAAAGCCUGACGGAGCAACGCCGCGUGAGUGAAGAAGGUCUUCGGAUCGUAAAACUCUGUUAUUAGGGAAGAACAAAUGUGUAAGUAACUAUGCACGUCUUGACGGUACCUAAUCAGAAAGCCACGGCUAACUACGUG
rnacentral:rRNA from 1 species